UACGGGAUGGUGCAACUGGUAGCACACCGGGCUUUGGACUCGGCAAUGGUGGUUCGAACCCAUCUCCCGUAG
rnacentral:tRNA from 1 species